ensembl:snoRNA SNORD58 Small nucleolar RNA SNORD58
CUGCGCUGAUGACCAUCUUAGGACACCUUUGGAUUAAAGAUGAAACGACUUUUUAAAUCUGAGCAGA